CAGGCCUAACACAUGCAAGUCGGACGGGAUUUUGGAGCUUGCUUCAAAUGAGAGUGGCGCACGGGUGCGUAACACGUAUGUAACCUACCUUCAUCAGGGGGAUAGCCUCUCGAAAGAGAGAUUAAGACCGCAUAACAUCAUUGAAUAGCAUUGUUUAAUGAUCAAAUAUUUAUAGGAUGAAGAUGGGCAUGCGGAACAUUAGCUAGAUGGCGGGGUAACGGCCCACCAUGGCCACGAUGUUUAGGGGAUCUGAGAGGAUGGCCCCCCACACUGGUACUGAGACACGGACCAGACUCCUACGGGAGGCAGCAGUAAGGAAUAUUGGUCAAUGGGCGGAAGCCUGAACCAGCCAUGCCGCGUGCAGGAAGACGGCCCUACGGGUUGUAAACUGCUUUUGUAC
rnacentral:rRNA from 1 species